rnacentral:rRNA from 1 species
UACAACUUUCAACAACGGAUCUCUUGGCUCUCGCAUCGAUGAAGAACGCAGCGAAAUGCGAUAAGUAAUGUGAAUUGCAGAAUUCAGUGAAUCAUCGAUCUUGACGCA